AUGCAUCAGUGGGUUAAUGACAAACAUGUGGUAUCUGGCAUCAGCAUCACUAUGGUGGACUUGACUACUUGCUGCCAGAGGACCUGUCCCCAGCCCAGACUUCCGAACAUUUGGCUUGCCAUUGAGAUAAUGAAACUCAAGCACAUUCUUAUCCUUCAAAAAGAUUGAUCUGUGUCGAGAGUCGCAGCUGCGUGAACAGUAUGACCAGAUUCUUAGGUUCAUUCAGGGCACAGUAGCCGAGGGCGCCCCUGUCAUCCCCAUCUCGGCUCAGCUAAAGCUCAACAUUGAUGUGGUGUGUGAGUACAUCAUGAAGAAAAUCCCUACCCCUAACCGUGACUUCAUGGCUGAGCCACGGCUGAUCGUCAUUCGUUCCUUCGAUGUCAACAAGCCAGGCUGUGAGGUAGAUGACCUCAAGGGGGGAGUUGCUGGAGGAUCUAUUUUGAGAGGAGUGCUCAAGGUUGGCCAAGAAAUUGAAGUUCGUCCUGGUAUCAUUGAACGUGAGGCUGAAUCAGGACGUGUUGUUUGCAAACCCAUUCGAUCAAGAAUCAUUUCUCUCUUCACCGAAACCAAUGAACUCCAGUUUGCUGUACCUGGUGGACUGAUUGGUGUCGGAACGAAAAUUGACCCAACACUUUGUCGUGCUGAUCGUAUGGUGGGCCAAGUCUUGGGUGCUGUUGGUUCACUCCCAGAGAUUUUCACUGAGCUUGAAAUUUCGUACUUCCUGCUUAGGAGAUUGCUUGGUGUCCGCACAGAAGGAGACAAGAAGGGAGCAAAGGUUCAAAAACUGUCAAAGAAUGAGAUGCUUAUGGUGAACAUUGGAUCCUUAUCAACUGGUGGCAGAGUCCUGGCUGUAAGGGCUGAUUUGGCCAAGAUCACUCUCACACAACCUGUAUGCACAGAAGAGGGAGAAAAGAUUGCCCUCUCACGCAGAAUUGACAAACAUUGGCGACUCAUCGGUUGGGGACAGAUUCGACGUGGUGUUACCAUCAAGCCAGAAUCUACAUAAAAAAAGAAA